rnacentral:rRNA from 1 species
GUGCAAACCCCGGAACAUUAGGUACGGCCGCCAGAGUUGUAUCCUGGCUCAGGAUGAACGCUAGCGGCAGGCUUAAUACAUGCAAGUCGAGGGGCAGCAUGACUGUAGCAAUACAGUUGAUGGCGACCGGCAAACGGGUGCGGAACACGUACAGAACCUUCCUUCGAGCGGGGAAUAGCCCAGAGAAAUUUGGAUUAAUACCCCAUAGUACAACGAAGUGGCAUCACUUUGUUGUUAAAGAUUUAUCACUUGAAGAUGGCUGUGCGGCUGAUUAGGUAGUUGGCGGGGUAACGGCCCACCAAGCCUGCGAUCAGUAACUGGUGUGAGAGCACGACCAGUCACACGGGCACUGAGACACGGGCCCGACUCCUACGGGAGGCAGCAGUAAGGAAUAUUGGUCAAUGGACGAAAGUCUGAACCAGCCAUGCCGCGUGGAGGAUGAAGGUCCUCUGGAUUGUUAACUUCUUUUAUAUGGGACGAAAAAAGGGUUUUCUAACUCGU